UCUACACAAGCCGACUAUCAUAUGAGUGUUAGAGGUAAAUCUGAGUGGAGAUUGAAGACCUCCAUCAUAGGUUAUGUUUGCAUAGCGAGGAAAGGAAUGAUGUAUAAUACUUCUGUAGGAGAAUUAACUUGUCUAGGGCAAAAAGCUUAUGAUGAUGAUACAAAGAAUACAACUUGGUGGUCGGCUUCAAAUGUCUCAGAACCAUCUAACCCGCUUGCAAGAUAUGCC